rnacentral:rRNA from 1 species
GACGAACGCUGGCGGCGUGCCUAACACAUGCAAGUCGAACGGUAGCACAGAGAGCUUGCUCUCGGGUGACGAGUGGCGGACGGGUGAGUAACGUCUGGGAAACCGCCCGAUGGAGGGGGAUAACUACUGGAAACGGUAGCUAAUACCGCAUAUCGUCGCAAGACCAAAGUGGGGGACCUUCGGGCCUCACACCAUCGGAUGUGCCCAGAUGGGAUUAGCUAGUAGGUGGGGUAACGGCUCACCUAGGCGACGAUCCCUAGCUGGUCUGAGAGGAUGACCAGCCACACUGGAACUGAGACACGGUCCAGACUCCUACGGGAGGCAGCAGUGGGGAAUAUUGCACAAUGGGCGCAAGCCUGAUGCAGCCAUGCCGCGUGUAUGAAGAAGGCCUUCGGGUUGUAAAGUACUUUCAGCGGGGAGGAAGGCGGUGAAGUUAAUAGCUUCACCGAUUGACGUUACCCGCAGAAGAAGCACUGGCUAACUCCGUGCCAGCCGCCGCCGUAA